CCUGCCCACUGAAAUUUUAAAUGGCCGCAGUAAUUUGACUGUGCAAAGGUAGCAUAAUCAUUAGUUUUUUAAUUAAAAGCUUGUAUGAAUGGUUGGACGAGGUAAAUUCUGUCUUUAUUUAAAUAAAAUUAGAAUUUAAUUUUUAAGUUAAAAAGCUUAAAUAAAUAUAAAAGACGAGAAGACCCUAUAGAUCUUUAUAUUAUUAUAAUAUAAUUUUAAUAAAGAAUUUUUAAUUUUUUAUAUUAUAUAGUAUUUUAUUGGGGUAAUAAAAAGAUUAAAUUAAUUCUUUUUGAUAUCUUACAUUUAUUUAUGAAUUUAAUGAUCCAAGUUUUUUGAUUAUAAGAUUAAGUUACCUUAGGGAUAACAGCGUAAUUUUUUUAGAGAGUUCAUAUCGAUAAAAAAGUUUGCGACCUCGAUGUUGGAUUAAAAAUUGUUUUAGGCGCAGAAGUUUAAAAAUUUGGUCUGUUCGACCAUUAAAUUUUUACAUGAUCUGAGUUCAGACCGGUGUAAGCCAGGUCGGUUUCUAUCUUUAUAACUUUAUAAUAUUUUAGUACGAAAGGACCAAAUAUUUAAUAUAUUAAUAUUUAUAUUUUGAAUAUUAUUAAU
rnacentral:rRNA from 1 species